GUAAUCUUAGCUCAUUAGGUAGAGCAUAUAACUUCUAAUUAUAGGGUAGCAUGUUCAAAUCAUGCAGACUACA
rnacentral:tRNA from 1 species